rnacentral:rRNA from 1 species
UACGUAGGGUGCGAGCGUUAAUCGGAAUUACUGGGCGUAAAGCGUGCGCAGGCGGUUUUGUAAGCCAGAUGUGAAAUCCCCGGGCUUAACCUGGGAAUGGCAUUGAGGACUGCACGGCUAGAGUGUGGCAGAGGGGGGUGGAAUUCCGCGUGUAGCAGUGAAAUGCGUAGAGAUGCGGAGGAACACCGAUGGCGAAGGCAGCCCCCUGGGCUAACACUGACACUCAUGCACGAAAGCGUGGGGAGCAAACAGG